GGUUGGAAAUUAAAGACUAUAUUAAAUAAUUAAAAAUUAAAAACAACACAAAUUAAAGAAGGAAAGCGCGCAAUCAGUGUGUCUCUCCAUCUUCUUCAUUCAUCAUCCCGCUAACCUCCGCUGCAGCCACCGCCGGCAACGCCAUAGGUAGAACAAUGGUUCAUCAAGCCCAGAAAACUCACGAAACAUAAAGAGAGGAUGUGAAGGAAUUGAAGGAAAAACUAUACAAACCAGAUCUAUAAAUCAAACAACUCAAAUUCUAACAACAUAUAUCUAGAAAAUAAAACAGUGGGGAUAAGUUUGAGGAAAGAGAUUGAUUUUGGAAUCGAAGAAAGCUUAUUUUUUUGAGGAAAUCAAACAUCUCAUGGGUGGAGUUUGAAAUUUGUGUGAUUUUUUUGUUUGAUUUGUGAAAGGCUCCAGAAGCUUCUCAACAGGAUAGUCGCCGCUUGUUUGCCGGAAAGGGGAAUCGCCGGCGGUGGCUGAUGCCGAGGUUAGCAGGAUAAUGAAUCAAGAAGAUGGAGAGACAAUACAGUGAGAUUGCGGCUUUCAUUCUUUAAUUUGUGUUUUUAAUAUCCAACCAUUAGAUUUAUUAUUGCCAUAUGUCUUCAAUCUAUGAAAAGAAAAGGACAAAAAGGAGCCUCAGGAAAAGGAGCAAAGCUGCUCUCUUCACUUUUUACACACAAUUAUCACUCUCACACUCACAAAAAGCUAGGAAUUUCAAUUAAGGUAUCAUAGAAGAAGGUGAUCGUUCAAGUUAUUUUGGAAAGCUCUGAGUUAGUGCAGGAUUCUAAGGCCUCAAGUUGAAGUUCAUGGAGAAAAGGAAAACGUGAUUGGGAGAGACAUUAAUUAUAAUACAAGGACCGUUAGUGUUGAUUAGUGAUCUAGUUUAUCUUUGGAGUCCGAAGAGAAAGAUCUCUCUAAUAUGUAUUGAUGAUGUCAUUGGACUGGAUGACAGGCAUAUGUGGUGUUUGACCAGCUCGUGAUUAUUUGUGGGUUAGAGUCUUUUGUAGGAAUUUAUCUUUUUAUCAUUUUAAAUUGAAAAAUUGUACGAUACUUAUGUGAACUGAAAUGUUUUAUAUUUGAAAAUCCUUUGAGCAAAAUUACUAGAUGAUUGUUUGAUAUAAGUGAUGCAUAUUAUUUAUGGGCUUACUUUAAAUUUAUAUAAAGAGAAUUUUGAAAACUUUCUUAAAUAAAAAUAAUAGUACUUAUAUUCGAGAACAUUUCUC